UACAGGGGGUGCAAACGUUGCUCGGAAUCAUUGGGCGUAAAGCGCACGUAGGCGGUUCGUUAUGUCGGAUGUGAAAGCCCUUGGCUUAACCGAGGAAGUGCAUCCGAAACUGGCGAGCUAGAGUACUAAAGAGGAUCGCGGAAUUCCCGGUGUAGAGGUGAAAUUCGUAGAUAUCGGGGGGAACACCGGUGGCGAAGGCGGCGAUCUGGGUAGAUACUGACGCUGAGGUGCGAAAGCGUGGGGAGCAAACAGG
rnacentral:rRNA from 1 species